UUCGGAUUGCAGGCUGCAACUCGCCUGCAUGAAGCUGGAAUUGCUAGUAAUCGCGGAUCAGCAAGCCGCGGUGAAUACGUUCCCGGGCCUUGUACACACCGCCCGUCACACCAUGAGAGUCGGGAACACCCGAAGUCCGUAGUCUAACCGCAAGGGGGGCGCGGCCGAAGGUGGGUCCGGUAAUUGGGGUGAAGUCGUAACAAGGUAUC
rnacentral:rRNA from 1 species